AGUUCUGAUUAAUUCAUUAUUUAUACUAUUAAUUUUGAAAAAAAAAAACUAAACUUAAAAAAAGGAACUUAUGUGUUCAACAAUUUCUUAAAUAAACUGACAAACAACUUCUUCCUUUAACCUUUAUACAAAAUAAAACGAUAUUACAGUCCAAUGUAUCUUAUUAUUUU
rnacentral:sRNA from 1 species